UUUUUAUGGAUGAUGUAACCAGCCCUUUCUAGCAGAUUCUAGGCCCUUCUUGGCUGAUAUUUUGUGCUCCUUAGUGUCUCCAUGCUGCUAGAAUAAUACGGGUUGUUCCGGAACCUUCCGGGCAGCUCCAAACGCGACUAGAUGGCCCCGGAAACUUCUAGAAGACUGAAAUUUUGAGCUGAAUUUAUGCGGGGCGUGACACCAAGCCCACUUAAAAACCUAGGUAUUUAAACCAACUUACAAACAUCUUCUCAUUUUAACAAACCCUAAACCAAACUCAGCACACACCACUACAGACCCCUCACCUCUCUCGUCAACUACACCGGUGACCGGAGUACAUUCCGGCCGGCACCGGUCGCCUUUCGAUCACCGACAGCCACACACCCUCCCCGAACCCUUACCCCCUAUUCCGUUCUCUCUCUCUUCGAUACAGCCACCGGAGAGGCUCCGGUCACAUUCUCGGUCGACGUAUUCACCGGCAAAAUACCCCCUCAUCUUCAUACACCCACAUUCACUCUCUGCUCCCUCUCUAGAACUCCGAGUCCUGGUGACGUCCGGCUACCUCCGACGGCAGGGUGGCGGCGGUGGGUUGUUUGAUCGAAGAUGAUGCUCAAAUAUGAAGAUGGAGGAUCGGUGAUGGCUAUGUUGUCGUUGAAGAUGAUCGACGACCGACGGAACUCCGGGCCGGCGAUGGUAGUGGAGUCCGACGGCGGGUUCAUUCCUGAAGGUGUUCCGUCCGGUUAUGUGUUGAUCAGGAAGGGUUAGUGAAGAUGGAUGGUGUUAAUGUUAAGGAUAAAGAUGUUGAUGAUGGUGAUGCCGACAGUGGAACUGUUGUGAUGGAGUUGUGAUGUUUUUGGUUCGAGUUUUGUUUUGAUUCGAGUGCUACUAGAAAUCAAUCGGGUUAUAGCUCUCGGGAAGAUUUUGUUUUCAGCUGCGUUUCAGGUCAAACCCGAUUGACUCGGUCAACACCCGAGUCAACUGGGUCAACAGCGGCCAAACAGGUCAAAAGCAGUCAACGCCGGUCGACUCACAAGACCCGGAAUGGCGUAGUUGCACGCUAGCUAAAUACAUGUUCUUGGAACAACACUACAGAAUCACACUAAGCUAGCAUUGCACAGGAAUGUCAAGGUGAGUUCAUAACCCC